GGGGCAGCAUGGUCUUAGCUUGCUAAGGCUUAUGGCGACCGGCGCACGGGUGAGUAACACGUAUCCAACCUGCCGUCUACUCUUGGCCAGCCUUCUGAAAGGAAGAUUAAUCCAGGAUGGGAUCAUGAGUUCACAUGUCCGCAUGAUUAAAGGUAUUUUCCGGUAGACGAUGGGGAUGCGUUCCAUUAGAUAGUAGGCGGGGUAACGGCCCACCUAGUCAACGAUGGAUAGGGGUUCUGAGAGGAAGGUCCCCCACAUUGGAACUGAGACACGGUCCAAACUCCUACGGGAGGCAGCAGUGAGGAAUAUUGGUCAAUGGGCGAUGGCCUGAACCAGCCAAGUAGCGUGAAGGAUGACUGCCCUAUGGGUUGUAAACUUCUUUUAUAAAGGAAUAAAGUCGGGUAUGCAUACCCGUUUGCAUGUACUUUAUGAAUAAGGAUCGGCUAACUCCGUGCCAGCAGCCGCGGUAAUACGGAGGAUCCGAGCGUUAUCCGGAUUUAUUGGGUUUAAAGGGAGCGUAGAUGGAUGUUUAAGUCAGUUGUGAAAGUUUGCGGCUCAACCGUAAAAUUGCAGUUGAUACUGGAUGUCUUGAGUGCAGUUGAGGCAGGCGGAAUUCGUGGUGUAGCGGUGAAAUGCUUAGAUAUCACGAAGAACUCCGAUUGCGAAGGCAGCCUGCUAAGCUGCAACUGACAUUGAGGCUCGAAAGUGUGGGUAUCAAAC
rnacentral:rRNA from 1 species